AUAAAUAAUCAUAGUGAGCUAUGCCUUACCAAGCAAUGACAAUCUUCAAAAAAAAAAUCCUUUCGGCCUCAAGCGGACGUCAAAAUUCAAGUGGAAAAUUAAAAGCCCAAAAAAAUCUCAAUAUGUAUUGCAUCAGCUUCCCUUUCACAUCCUGCUGUUUGCCGAGCAGUUUCUUCUGCGAUCCAUCGUGUGCACCCUGUGGCCCAUGUGGACCCUGUACUACGCCCAGCUGUGGACCCUGUUGCUGUGGAAGUUGCUGCGUGGCCCCAUGUGGUCCCUGCUGCAGCCCGUGCGGUGGACCCAGGAAGUUUGCUAACGAUAUGAGACUACGCAACGCUGGAUACUACGACUGAGGAGGAACCGAAACGGGGAAAACGGGGAAGUCUGGGAAUGUGCGAAUAAAAUGUUCAAUAAAUUCAAAAUGAAUAAGAACUUGCCAGAAAAAAAUUGUUUUUGAAUUUAUUUUUGAAGGAAAUAUACCAGCUAACAAUA